CACGUAGGGGGCAAGCGUUGUCCGGAAUCAUUGGGCGUAAAGCGCGCGUAGGCGGCCCUGUAAGUCCGCUGUAAAAGUCAAAGGCUCAACCUUUGAACGCCGGUGGAUACUGCAGGGCUAGAGUCCGGAAGAGGCGAGCGGAAUUCCUGGUGUAGCGGUGGAAUGCGCAGAUAUCAGGAGGAACACCAACGGCGAAGGCAGCUCGCUGGGACGGUACUGACGCUAAGGCGCGAAAGCUAGGGGAGCGAACAGG
rnacentral:rRNA from 1 species